UGGAAAGGAAGAAACAGCAGAGC
rnacentral:miRNA from 1 species